UGGGAGCGGCAGACGGGAUAGUAACACGUGGGAACGUACCUUUCAGUUCGGAACAACCCAGGGAAACUUGGGCUAAUACCGAAUACGCCCGUAAGGGGAAAGAUUUAUCGCUGAAAGAUCGGCCCGCGUCUGAUUAGCUAGUUGGUGAGGUAACGGCUCACCAAGGCGACGAUCAGUAGCUGGUCUGAGAGGAUGAUCAGCAUCACUGGGACUGAGACACGGCCCAG
rnacentral:rRNA from 1 species